CGGUCAGGUUGCGGUACCUCUGGAUAAUGUGCGUGCGACCUUAUCGCAUGCACGUGCGACAAAGCUCGUUCACACCCAGGACCGGAUUUGGUGCCCUUUACAAGUGAGAAAACUAAGGCAGCACCAUCGACUCCUUUCACAAUGGUGAAAUGGUGAUUCCGAAAUGGUGAUGGAGAUUCAGACCCAGGUGACCUGAGUCCUCGACUCGACUUGUCUUAUCACGCCACACUGCCUUCCACUGAUGCUCGGAAACUUUGACCUGAAAAUCGGUGAACGUGAUUCAGAAUGCACCCAUUCUUUCAGGGAAGGCGUUGGCACUUAUUCAGACAUGAAAAUAUAUUCUUGGAAGAAAACAAAAAAAGUGUCAGAAGAGUUAUUAGUCCUUGAAUUGGUAUUCUCUGAGCCGGAGAAAGAAGGAACAAGGAAGCUAACAUUUCAGCUUUGGACCCUCCUUGGGACUAUAACUUGAGAGCCAGAAGAGACUAUGAGAACAUGGAACGUGAUGAUUCAAGAACAAGGGCACGCUGCAGUAGCUGCUCCCCCCCCCCAUGACUAAGAACUCUUCUUGAUAACUAGAUAAGGAAACUGAGACCUGCAAAUAAAGAGUGACUUCCCCAAGGUCACACAGCCCGUGUGAAGCAAGCUAUGACUAGGACCUGACUUUCUGAGUCUUACUCCAGCACUCUUUGCUCUUCCACUUAUUGCUUAAUGUUUCAUCUAUGUGUUCGCAUGUGCACAUGCAGGUUUGCUUGAGCAACGGGAAUUUUAUUGGAAUGAUAUUUUCUUGUGUAUUUACCCCCAAGGUAUACCUCAUUAGACUCCUCACAUAAUAACAAUAAUAAUUUAAGGUUGCUUUUGUUGAAAAUCCUGAGUUUAUUCAUGACAUAUAUGAUAGUUAGCUUAUCUCCCCAUCUCUACCCCAACUGUUUCUGGAUUUAUUUGGGGCCAAAUUGUCUUGGCUGAACUCUGAGGUCUGUGCUUCUUCCAGUCCUAUCCCUACAUUACCCUCCCAAGGCACAGAACUGAUCUGAUGCCUUUUUCAUUUGAAAUAAACUUACAAAAAUUUAUAAUAUGUAA